rnacentral:rRNA from 1 species
UACGUAGGGAGCGAGCGUUGUCCGGAUUCAUUGGGCGUAAAGAGCUCGUAGGCGGCUUGGUAAGUCGGAUGUGAAACCUCCAGGCUCAACCUGGAGUCGCCAUCCGAUACUGCCAUGGCUAGAGUCCGGUAGGGGCCCACGGAAUUCCUGGUGUAGCGGUGAAAUGCGUAGAGAUCGGAAAGAACACCAACGGCGAAAGCACUCUGCUGGGCCGACACUGACACUGAGAGACGAAAGCUAGGGGAGCGAAUGGG